rnacentral:lncRNA from 1 species
GAGGGUAGGACCACGUGUAAAUGGCUUUUGGCCGUACUUCUCAGUGUCCUUAUUGGGGAUCUCUUGGCAGCUGGAAAAGCUGCUUGGUAUUUAAGUUUAACUGAUACUUGUAAGAGUUUUGAAGAAGGCGGCUAAGGAUUGAGGGCGAGCCCAGUGUCUUUGAAUGGACCUGGUGCCAGUCUGUCACCCAGUAAAUGUGUCUUUUCCUUUGUUCAUCCUCUGUCAUGCUCUGACUUGCCUUAGUUUUCUCCGCGGCAUCUCUGAGGCCGCCUAGCAGCCAAAUGCGACCCUCCAGGCAGGUGCUCUCGUAAUAGUGUAAAAAGCAAUCUUCGAACAUCUGUAAGUGGUGUUUAUGUUUUACAUCCCUGAUUUAUCUGAUCAAAUGUUCCAGAAGAAAAUUACAUAUUACGACUUGUUUAACAGCCU